CCCGUGUAUACCGUACCUUGUUGCUUCGGCGGGCCCGCCGCGCAAGCGGCCGCCGGGGGGGCGUCAAACCCCCCUCCCUAGGCGAGCGCCCGCCGGAGACACCAACGUGAACACUGUCUGAAGUUUUGUUGUCUGAGUUCGAUUGUAUCGCAAUCAGUUAAAACUUUCAACAAUGGAUCUCUUGGUUCCGGCAUCGAUGAAGAACGCAGCGAAAUGCGAUAAUUAAUGUGAAUUGCAGAAUUCAGUGAAUCAUCGAGUCUUUGAACGCACAUUGCACCCCCUGGUAUUCCGGGGGGUAUGCCUGUCCGAGCGUCAUUGCUGCCCUCAAGCACGGCUUGUGUGUUGGGUCGUCGUCCCCCCCGGGGACGGGCCCGAAAGGCAGCGGCGGCACCGCGUCCGGUCCUCGAGCGUAUGGGGCUUUGUCACCCGCUCUUGUAGGCCCGGCCGGCGCUGGCCGACGCUGAAAAGCAACCAACUAUUUCUCCAGGUUGACCUCGGAUCAGGUAGGGAUACCCGCUGAACUUAAGCAUAUCAAUAAGCGGAGGAA
rnacentral:rRNA from 1 species